GCCUGGGUGGCUCAGUCGGUUGGGUGCCUGACUUCAGAUCAGGUCAUGAUCUCAUGGUUCAUGAGUUCGAGCCCCGCGCCGGGCU
rnacentral:tRNA from 1 species